rnacentral:rRNA from 1 species
UAAGUAGCCGGAGGAAGAGAAAGAAAAAUCGAUUUCCAAAGUAGCGGCGAGCGAAAUGGGAAGAGGCCAAACCGAAGGACAUGUUCUUCGGGGUUCGGACUACAUAAGCAAAAGAUAAGACUAAUCGAAUUGUUUUGGGAAAGCAAGCCAAAGAGAGUGAAAGCCUUGUAGAUGAAAGACAAGUCAAAGCGGUAGGAUCCAGAGUAAAUCGAGACACGAGAAACCUUGAUUGAAAGAGCGGGAACCACCCCGUAAGCCUAAAUACUACGGAGUGACCGAUAGCGAAGAGUACUGUGAAGGAAAGGUGAAAAGGACCCCGGGAGGGGAGUGAAAGAGAACCUGAAGC